rnacentral:rRNA from 1 species
AUUGAACGCUGGCGGCAGGCCUAACACAUGCAAGUCGAACGAGCGGCGGACGGGUGAGUAAUGACCGGGAAACUGCCAGAUGGAGGGGUAUAACUACUGGAAACGGUAGCUAAUACCGUAUCCCAUCAGAUGUGUCCAGAUGGGAUUAGCUAGUAGGUGGGGUAAAGGCUCACCUAGGCGACGAUCCCUCGCUGGUCUGAGAGGAUGGCCAGGCAUCGUGGAACUGAGACACCGUCCAGACUCCGACGAGAGGCAGCAGUGGCGAAUAUUGCACGAUGGGCGCAAGCCUUAUGCAGCCAUGCCGCGUGUAUGAAGAAGGCCUUCGGGUUGUAAAGUACGUUCAUCGGGGAGGCGUUACCCGCAGAAGAAGCAGCGGCUAACUCCGUGCCAGCAGCCGCGGUAAUAC